AGGAACGGAAGCCUCAAGAUAAUUUAUUAAUUACUGAAAAAUAAAAAAUAAGGAAAGUAAGAGCAACGCAUUAGGACUAAUCGCUAUGCUGUCGUUAACAUUAACUGUCAUCGAUAUCUCACUACAUUACACAUUACUUAAGUUUAAUGUCCUUAAUCUUAUCCAUUACGAUGCCGUCGUUCCCAAUGUAUGUGCUUGUGGUUGACAUAACUCAAUUGAACAAAAAGUGCAUCUCUUUGUUCUGUAAUUCCACUGAAUUGGUAAAUAAUGUUAAGCAUUGUUAUACCGAUUAUCCUUCAGUAUGGCUUUAUUUUAAAAAAAGAUUUUGUUAAAUAGUCAUCGUAGUUUACUGUAUCCUCAAAGCAGUUAUAGAUGCUGUAGCUGACGGCAAGUUGUCUUUACACACUUCCCACAAUGAAAAGGGAAUAGAUCAAAGAAGAGAAAAAGCUGUUACUGGUGAGUGUAAAACGCUUGGCACAACCGAGAGUUUCAUAGCAAGUAUAUUAGAUUU